rnacentral:tRNA from 1 species
GCCACGGUAGCCUUAAUGGUAAGGCGCUCGCUUGUCGAGCGAGUUCUCCCCAAGAGAAUUCCGGGUUCGAAUCCCGGCCGUGGCG